rnacentral:sRNA from 1 species
GAAAUUAUUAUUAGUAAGUGAGGCGUCCUUAUGAAAAUGUCUAAACCAGCAUAUAUCGUUUUGCUUGUUGUCGGCUUGGUUUUUGUUUUUUUAGGACUAUCUAACAUUGGGAUUUCGAUUUUCUGGGAUUUUAGUGAUUUAGAAAACUUGAUGGUUGGCUUAUUGUUAAUCAUUAUUGGGACAAUUACACUUAGAAUCCGCUAUUCGUUUAAAAAAAGAGGAUAGAAAAGCACUGCAGUCAACUUUUGCAGUGCUUUUCUA